GGAGCAUCACUCCAAAAGCCAGAGCGGCAUGAUGGGGGUUAACCAGUGGCCCAGACAUAAGGGUGACACAUUACUGGUGUCCUAGCUGAAGGGAUAAGCGGCAGAGGAGUGUGUCAAUAAAAGAGGAGGUGACACAUAACAAGAAAGAAAGAAAGAAAGAAAGAAAGAAAGAAAGAAAGAAAGAAAGAAAGAAAGAAAGAAAGAAAGAAAGAAAGAAAGAAAGAAAGAAAGAAAGAAAGAAAAUAAAGGAGGGGUAUUAAAUGGAGUACAACACAAAAAUGAAAUUAAAAGUAGAGGUGAAAAGAAAGAAAGAAAGAAAGAAAGAAAGAAAGAAAGAAAGAAAGAAAGAAAGAAAGAAAAUAAAGGAGGGGUAUUAAAUGGAGUACAACACAAAAAUGAAAUUAAAAGUAGAGAUGAGUAAAGAGAAUGAGCGAAAGAAAGAAA